rnacentral:misc_RNA from 1 species
AAAAGUUAUCAGAUUAGGCCUGCACUGGGCGAUGCAUCAAUUGUUAUAUGUUGCAUUGGUGCCAGUGAAAAGGAGAUCUUUGAUGUUACUGGACCAUAUCGAAUUGAUUACCUGGCUACUAAGAACCUUAUUGAUGCAGCAACCGUCGCAAAAGUUGACCACUUUAUCUUGCUCACAUCUUUGGGAACAAACAAGGUCGGUUUUCCUGCAGCAAUUCUCAAUUUGUUUUGGGGAGUCCUCCUUUGGAAAAGGAAAGCAGAAGAGGCACUGCUUGCCAGUGGGCUUCCUUAU